rnacentral:rRNA from 1 species
GAUUAUGGCUCAGGAUGAACGCUAGCUACAGGCUUAACACAUGCAAGUCGAGGGGCAGCAUGAUCAAAGCUUGCUUGAUGAUGGCGACCGGCGCACGGGUGAGUAACGCGUAUCCAACCUUCCCUAUAGUAGUGGAUAGCCCGGCGAAAGUCGGAUUAAUACACUAUGUUGUAUUUAGAGGACAUCUGAAGAAUACCAAAGGCUUGCCGCUAUAGGAUGGGGAUGCGUCUGAUUAGAUAGUAGGCGGGGUAACGGCCCACCUAGUCGACGAUCAGUAGGGGUUCUGAGAGGAAGGUCCCCCACAUUGGAACUGAGACACGGUCCAAACUCCUACGGGAGGCAGCAGUGAGGAAUAUUGGUCAAUGGACGGGAGUCUGAACCAGCCAAGUAGCCGUGCAGGAUGACGGCCCUAUGGGUUGUAAACUGCUUUUAUCGGGGGAUAAAGUCACCCACGUGUGGGUGUUUGUAGGUACCCGAUGAAUAAGGACCGGCUAGUUCCGUGCCAGCAGCAGC